UACGUAGGUGGCAAGCGUUGUCCGGAUUUAUUGGGCGUAAAGGGCGCGCAGGCGGUUCGUUAAGUUCGAGGUGAAAUCUCCUGGCUCAACUGGGAGGGGUCUUCGGAUACUGGCGGACUUGAGGAGAGCAGAGGUGAGUGGAAUUCUGGGUGUAGUGGUGAAAUGCGUAGAUAUCCAGAGGAACACCAGUGGCGAAGGCGACUCACUGGGCUCCACCUGACGCUGAGGCGCGAAAGCGUGGGGAGCGAACCGG
rnacentral:rRNA from 1 species